AUCUACGGCCAUACCACCCUGAACGCGCCCGAUCUCGUCUGAGCUCGGAAGCUAAGCAGGGUCGGGCCUGGUUAGUACUUGGAUGGGAGGAAUAUUGGUGCUCAAAAGC
rnacentral:rRNA from 1 species